CGACGGUGCGUUGCUUACGGUUUGUUUGUAUACUGGCUGAGUGGAGUUUAUGGAUUUUGAAGGUCGCGUCGUCUUGGGUUUCAUUGAUAUUCAAAUGCCGACUGCGUUCCCUGUACAUUGGAAGAUCUUCGGUACGAGAUUGCCCUUAUCUCGCCGAUCAGAUUUUAUCUAGGGCCAAAUGCUUAGUUGAAACACCUACUGCGUCGAUGAACCUGCUCCUGCGAGCCUCUACAUUUACUCGAGGACUCGAGACCCGGAAAAAAUGUCUUCACUGUGAAAAAGUACAGGUUUG